GGGGCGAUAAUUAGUUGGUAAAAUGAUAAUUUUGCGUAUAUAUUCCCAGGUUCGAUUCCUGGUCACUCCA
rnacentral:tRNA from 1 species